rnacentral:ncRNA from 1 species
AAUGAAGUUUUGAUUAGAAAAAGUAGCAAGCAAAUGUUUCGAGAGAGUAUCCAGACGGCUGUGAGGAUAUAGCAUAACUUGUGAACACACAUCUAUGAACUUUGGCGCUGAAUCACAGUAAGCACCAACGCAGGGUCUGCGUUAAAAACUGUUACAAGUUAAUUUGAUUCUAGUGUGACUAUCCAGCACAUGUUUUAAAAAUGACACUUAAUUUGCAACUUGAGGUCUGGCCUGUAAGGUCCAGAUAAACUUGAGGUGGCACCACGAUCAUUCGUCCUCGUA